GUCCACGCCCUAAACGAUGUCUACUAGUUGUCGGGUCUUAAUUGACUUGGUAACGCAGCUAACGCGUGAAGUAGACCGCCUGGGGAGUACGGUCGCAAGAUUAAAACUCAAAGGAAUUGACGGGGACCCGCACAAGCGGUGGAUGAUGUGGAUUAAUUCGAUGCAACGCGAAAACCUUACCUACCCUUGACAUGGCUGGAAUCCCUGAGAGAUUGGGGAGUGCUCGAAAGAGAACCAGUACACAGGUGCUGCAUGGCUGUCGU
rnacentral:rRNA from 1 species